UAUAGAGGAAUAAUGAAAAAUUAUGUAUGUAAUAUACUUAAUAUUUAGAAGUGAUUUCAUUGCAUUAAAUGAUAUAUAAUUUGCUUCACAUUAAUGUUACUUUUUUUUUGUAUAAAGCCAAGAGGUUGGUUUGUCAGCACAGUAUCCUAAGGCGAACUGGCCUAGUGUUAUUUGUGAAAUAUUUUAAUAUUAUGUUGUAUCAAGUGUGCAAGUGAAGACUGAAACAAAAAUAAAAAAUUUACAAAAAAAGACUAUGAACAUUAGAGACACAAACAAUAAUUUCAGAAGUGUUUUUAAAUUUUACACAAGAAAUAUAAAAUUAAUAAAAUUCUUUACGAAUAAUAUUAAGGGCUUCAAUUCCAUCAUUUUGAUUUGUAUCUGGAUCUAUCGGAGAUAUUUCAUAAGGUGAUUUGUUGAGAUCCAAAGAGGAUGCAGCACGAAGUCUUCAGAAAACAAAAAUCUUAUAUCUAUGUAGCUUAUAAACUUCACAGCAUUGUGUAAAUUCUCAAUCAUAGUCUUGGAAUUUUUCACA